GACGAACGCUGGCGGCGUGCUUAACACAUGCAAGUCGAACGAAGAGCGAUGGAAGCUUGCUUCUAUCAAUCUUAGUGGCGAACGGGUGAGUAACGCGUAAUCAACCUGCCCUUCAGAGGGGGACAACAGUUGGAAACGACUGCUAAUACCGCAUACGAUCUAAUCUCGGCAUCGAGGAUAGAUGAAAGGUGGCCUCUAUGUAUAAGCUAUCACUGAAGGAGGGGAUUGCGUCUGAUUAGCUAGUUGGAGGGGUAACGGCCCACCAAGGCGAUGAUCAGUAGCCGGUCUGAGAGGAUGAACGGCCACAUUGGGACUGAGACACGGCCCAGACUCCUACGGGAGGCAGCAGUGGGGAAUCUUCCGCAAUGGACGAAAGUCUGACGGAGCAACGCCGCGUGAGUGAUGACGGCCUUCGGGUUGUAAAGCUCUGUUAAUCGGGACGAAAGGCCUUCUUGCGAAUAGUGAGAAGGAUUGACGGUACCGGAAGAGAAAGCCACGGCUAACUACGUG
rnacentral:rRNA from 1 species